CGGGGUGCAGCAGGCGCGAAAACUUUGCAAUAAGCGAAAGCUUGACAGGGCUAUCCCGAGUGCCAUCCGCUGAGGAAGGCUUUUACCCAGUCUAGAACGCUGGGGGAAUAAGGAGAGGGUAAGUCUGGUGUCAGCCGCCGCGGUAAUACCAGCUCUCCGAGUGGUGUGGAUGUUUAUUGGGCCUAAAGCAUCCGUAGCUGGCUAGGUUAGUCCCCUGUUAAAUCCACCGAAUUAAUCGUUGGAUUGCGGGGGAUACUGCUUGGCUAGGGGACGAGAGAGGCAGACGGUAUUUCCGGGGUAGGGGUGAAAUCCUAUAAUCCCGGGAAGACCACCAGUGGCGAAGGCUGUCUGCUAGAACGCGCCCGACGGUGAGGGAUGAAAGCUGGGGGAGCGAACCGGAUUAGAUACCCGGGUAGUCCCAGCUGUAAACGAUGCAGACUAGGUGUUUGGACGGCCACGUGCCGUUCUAGUGCCGCAGGGAAGCUGUUAAGUCUGCCGCCUGGGGAGUACGAUCGCAAGAUUGAAACUUAAAGGAAUUGGCGGGGGAGCAC
rnacentral:rRNA from 1 species